GAUGAACGCUGGCGGCGUGCCUAAUACAUGCAAGUCGAGCGAACGGACGAGAAGCUUGCUUCUCUGAUGUUAGCGGCGGACGGGUGAGUAACACGUGGAUAACCUACCUAUAAGACUGGGAUAACUUCGGGAAACCGGAGCUAAUACCGGAUAAUAUUUUGAACCGCAUGGUUCAAAAGUGAAAGACGGUCUUGCUGUCACUUAUAGAUGGAUCCGCGCUGCAUUAGCUAGUUGGUAAGGUAACGGCUUACCAAGGCAACGAUGCAUAGCCGACCUGAGAGGGUGAUCGGCCACACUGGAACUGAGACACGGUCCAGACUCCUACGGGAGGCAGCAGUAGGGAAUCUUCCGCAAUGGGCGAAAGCCUGACGGAGCAACGCCGCGUGAGUGAUGAAGGUCUUCGGAUCGUAAAACUCUGUUAUUAGGGAAGAACAUAUGUGUAAGUAACUGUGCACAUCUUGACGGUACCUAAUCAGAAAGCCACGGCUAACUACGUGCUAGCAGCCGCGGUAAUACGUAGGUGGCAAGCGUUAUCCGGAAUUAUUGGGCGUAAAGCGCGCGUAGGCGGUUUUUUAAGUCUGAUGUGAAAGCCCACGGCUCAACCGUGGAGGGUCAUUGGAAACUGGAAAACUUGAGUGCAGAAGAGGAAAGUGGAAUUCCAUGUGUAGCGGUGAAAUGCGCAGAGAUAUGGAGGAACACCAGUGGCGAAGGCGACUUUCUGGUCUGUAACUGACGCUGAUGUGCGAAAGCGUGGGGAUCAAACAGGAUUAGAUACCCUGGUAGUCCACGCCGUAAACGAUGAGUGCUAAGUGUUAGGGGGUUUCCGCCCCUUAGUGCUGCAGCUAACGCAUUAAGCACUCCGCCUGGGGAGUACGACCGCAAGGUUGAAACUCAAAGGAAUUGACGGGGACCCGCACAAGCGGUGGAGCAUGUGGUUUAAUUCGAAGCAACGCGAAGAACCUUACCAAAUCUUGACAUCCUUUGACAACUCUAGAGAUAGAGCUUUCCCCUUCGGGGGACAAAGUGACAGGUGGUGCAUGGUUGUCGUCAGCUCGUGUCGUGAGAUGUUGGGUUAAGUCCCGCAACGAGCGCAACCCUUAAGCUUAGUUGCCAUCAUUAAGUUGGGCACUCUAAGUUGACUGCCGGUGACAAACCGGAGGAAGGUGGGGAUGACGUCAAAUCAUCAUGCCCCUUAUGAUUUGGGCUACACACGUGCUACAAUGGACAAUACAAAGGGCAGCGAAACCGCGAGGUCAAGCAAAUCCCAUAAAGUUGUUCUCAGUUCGGAUUGUAGUCUGCAACUCGACUACAUGAAGCUGGAAUCGCUAGUAAUCGUAGAUCAGCAUGCUACGGUGAAUACGUUCCCGGGUCU
rnacentral:rRNA from 1 species